rnacentral:rRNA from 1 species
CAGUAGCCACGGGAAUACGAAGGGUGCAAGCGUUACUCGGAAUUACUGGGCGUAAAGCGUGCGUAGGUGGUGGUUUAAGUCCGUUGUGAAAGCCCUGGGCUCAACCUGGGAAUUGCAGUGGAUACUGGGUCACUAGAGUGUGGUAGAGGAUAGUGGAAUUUCCGGUGUAGCAGUGAAAUGCGUAGAGAUCGGAAGGAACAUCUGUGGCGAAGGCGACUAUCUGGGCCAACACUGACACUGAGGCACGAAAGCGUGGGGAGCAAACAGGAUUAGAUACCCGCGUAGUCCCUGUCUCUUAUAC